UUUCACCAAGAAGCAUGCAUAGCAUUCAACAUACUAUUUAACCAUCAAACAUGCAUAUUCAAGUCAAAAUUCUCAAGCAUAAGAAUAAUAAAAACCCAAUUAUAGAAGUCCAUGAAUAGUCCUUAAAAUGACCAUUUAACAAACCAAAAAAACUAUAAAAAGUCCAAGUCCCAACAAAGUCCCACAUUGCCUUCAUUAUUUGCAAAAC
rnacentral:lncRNA from 1 species